rnacentral:snoRNA from 1 species
UGUUUUAUGUCGCGGAAGAGUUCUUGAAGACUAUAUUCAUCACCCAAGGCUGAAUUU